GCCUUGCUAGUUCAAUCGGUAGAGCGUGAGACUCUUAAUCUCAAGGUUGCGGGUUCGACCCCCGCGUGAGGCU
rnacentral:tRNA from 1 species